UGUAUGCUUACCUGUUUAGCCUCCUUGAAUUGCACGUCACGCUGCCUAUAAAUUGUCUCUAAAAGGUACCUAUUCGUUGCAAAAUAUAGUUUAAGUCGCCAAUUUUGCGCGCAGAAUUCCUGAGUUCAUUGAAGAAAUUAUAAAAAUGGUUUUCUUUUGACGGUAUCUGAUGGACUUUGUUAGGUUUGAAGAGUUUAACGGACAGAAAAUUCUAUGCAGGCACCACGUUUUACAUCUCCUUAGACCUUAUUGGUAACUUUCCACG
rnacentral:lncRNA from 1 species